rnacentral:rRNA from 1 species
GGAUAACCGUGGAACACGCAAACCGAAAAAAGAAAUACGGACCAAAGGUGGCCUCUACAUGUAAGCUAUCGCGUUGGGAUGGGCCCAGUUAGGAUUAGCUAGUUGGUAAGGUAAUGGCUUACCAAGGCGACGAUCCUUAGCUGGUUUGAGAGGAUGAUCAGCCACACUGGGACUGAGACACGGCCCAGACUCCUACGGGAGGCAGCAGUGGGGAAUAUUGCACAAUGGGGGAGACCCUGAUGCAGCCAUGCCGCGUGUGUGAAGAAGGCCUUCGGGUUGUAAAGCACUUUCAGCAGUGAGGAAGGUGGUGUACUUAAUACGUGCAUGGCUUGACGUUAGCUGCAGAAGAAGCACCGGCUAACUCCGUGCCAGCAGCCGCGGUAAUACGGAGGGUGCGAGCGUUAAUCGGAAUUACUGGGCGUAAAGCGCAUGCAGGCGGUUUGUUAAGUCAGAUGUGAAAGCCCGGGGCUCAACCUCGGAACCGCAUUUGAAACUGGCAGGCUAGAGUCUUGUAGAGGGGGGUAGAAUUUCAGGUGUAGCGGUGAAAUGCGUAGAGAUCUGAAGGAAUACCAGUGGCGA